ACUCCUACGGGAGGCAGCAGUGGGGAAUUUUGGACAAUGGGCGAAAAGCCUGAUCCAGCAAUGCCGCGUGUGUGAAGAAGGCCUUCGGGUUGUAAAAGCACUUUUGUCCGGAAAAGAAAUCCUUGGCUCUAAUACAGUCGGGGGAUGACGGUACCGGAAGAAUAAGCACCGGCUAACUACGUGCCAGCAGCCGCGGUAAUACGUAGGGUGCAAGCGUUAAUCGGAAUUACUGGGCGUAAAGUGUGCGCAGGCGGUUUGCUAAGACCGAUGUGAAAUCCCCGGGCUCAACCUGGGAACUGCAUUGGUGACUGGCAGGCUAGAGUAUGGCAGAGGGGGUAGAAUUCCACGUGUAGCAGUGAAAUGCUAGAGAUGUGGAGGAAUACCGAUGGCGAAGGCAGCCCCCUGGG
rnacentral:rRNA from 1 species